rnacentral:rRNA from 1 species
GACGAACGCUGGCGGCGUGCCUAAUACAUGCAAGUCGAACGCACUCUCGUUUAGAUUGAAGGAGCUUGCUCCUGAUUGAUAAACAUUUGAGUGAGUGGCGGACGGGUGAGUAACACGUGGGUAACCUGCCCUAAAGUGGGGGAUAACAUUUGGAAACAGAUGCUAAUACCGCAUAAAACCUAACACCGCAUGGUGCAGGGUUUGAAAGAUGGUUUCGGCUAUCACUUUAGGAUGGACCCGCGGUGCAUUAGUUAGUUGGUGAGGUAAAGGCUCACCAAGACCGUGAUGCAUAGCCGACCUGAGAGGGUAAUCGGCCACACUGGGACUGAGACACGGCCCAGACUCCUACGGGAGGCAGCAGUAGGGAAUCUUCCACAAUGGACGAAAGUCUGAUGGAGCAACGCCGCGUGAGUGAAGAAGGUUUUCGGAUCGUAAAACUCUGUUGUUGGAGAAGAAUGUAUCUGAUAGUAACUGAUCAGGUAGUGACGGUAUCCAACC